AAGUCAUAACAAGGUUUCUGUAGGUUGAAUCCUUGCAGAAGGAUCAUUAUUGAAUUGUAAAAUGGGAGUUGCUUUCGAAGCGCUCCUCUACAUUGCUUUAUUCCUAGCACCUGUGAAUCGUUGCUGAGUCCGCUCAGUGGCACUUUUUUGACACACACAUAAAAGUAUAGAACGUAAAAUAUAUAAAAUAAAAAUACAA
rnacentral:misc_RNA from 1 species